UACGUAGGGGGCAAGCGUUGUCCGGAUUUAUUGGGCGUAAAGAGCGUGUAGGCGGCCAGGUAGGUCUGCUGUGAAAACUCGAGGCUUAACCUCGAGAUGUCGGCGGAAACCAUCUGGCUAGAGUCCGGAAGAGGAGAGUGGAAUUCCCGGUGUAGCGGUGAAAUGCGCAGAUAUCGGGAAGAACACCCGUGGCGAAGGCGGCUCUCUGGGACGGUACUGACGCUGAGACGCGAAAGCGUGGGGAGCGAACAGG
rnacentral:rRNA from 1 species